GGGCUUGUAGCUCAUUGGUAGAGCGCCCGCCUCACAUGUGUGAGACACUGGGUUCGAUCCUCAGCACCCCG
rnacentral:tRNA from 1 species